UGCCGCUCCUGCUCCGGCUGUGCCCGGUGCGGGUCGGGGCCCCGCCGGGGCUCGGUUCUGCUCGAGCCGCUCAUCCGACACCUGCCAGGUCAUCAGAUAUCCUGAGUGGGAAGGAACACACAAGGAGCACCAAGUUGAACCCUUAUGUGAAUGGCUCAUCUGGGGACUGAACCCACAGCCUGGGCAUUUUCAGCACCCUGCUCCAACCAAGCCAGUGUCAGGUCAUGGCAAUGUCCUGCCUGGGAUGGGAAUGCCAAGUCCCAGCAAGGGAAUUCCUAUGCCAGUGUACCUCCUUCUUUUAUGCUGAUGCUGCUUUACACACCAGCCCCUGGAGUGUCCACAGGGCAGAGCUCCAUGGCCAGCAUCUGACUGUGGAACAACACAGGGAGAAACAAGCAAGACAAGUCCUGAGGGUUCCCUUGGUCCGUGGCCAAAGUUCUUCUGGAGAGUGUCGGGGCUGGUCCCGCCUGCAGAGGGGCGUUUCCUGCAGGGGCUGCUCUGAACAGGCACCCAGAGAUGCUGCAGCCCGGACAGAGCCCACUGACAUCCCAAAAAUAGCCCAAGAACAGCUGGCAUUGCCUGGGAAUGUCGGCACGUUGGGUUUGCAGAGGAGCUCAGACAGCAAUUCCUGGUGCCCAGCUCCUGGAGCUCCCACACACCCACCAGGUAUGUCCCAGCCACCCCAAUCCCUUCCCUUCCAGCCUGGGGACAGCCUCCAGCAGCAGCGUUAAAGCCAAGGGAAUUUCCCUCACAGAAAUUCAAUCCCAAGCAAUGCCCUCGGAG